AUGAACGCUAGCGGCAGGCUUAACACAUGCAAGUCGAGGGGCAGCACGGGUAGCAAUACCUGGUGGCGACCGGCGCAAGGGUGCGUAACGCGUGAGCAACAUGCCCUAUACAGGGGGAUAAUCCAGGGAAACUUGGUCUAAUAUCCCAUAGUAUUUAGAGGUGGCAUCACCACUAAAUUAAAGCUUCGGUGGUAUAGGAUUGGCUCGCGUGACAUUAGCUGGAUGGUGGGGUAACGGCUCACCAUGGCGAUGAUGUCUAGGGGUUCUGAGAGGAAGACCCCCCACACUGGGACUGAGACACGGCCCAGACUCCUACGGGAGGCAGCAGUGAGGAAUAUUGGACAAUGGAUGGAAAUCUGAUCCAGCCAUGCCGCGUGCAGGAAGACGGCCCUAUGGGUUGUAAACUGCUUUUAUAUGGGAGCAAUAAGGUUUACGCGUAGACCGAUGAGAGUACCAUAUGAAUAAGCAUCGGCUAACUCCGUG
rnacentral:rRNA from 1 species